rnacentral:rRNA from 1 species
GACGAAGGGGGCUAGCGUUGUUCGGAAUUACUGGGCGUAAAGCGAGUGUAGGCGGUUGUUCAAGUCAGGUGUGAAAGCCUUGAGCUCAACUCAAGAAAUGCACUUGAUACUGGAUGACUAGAGGACCGGAGAGGAUAGUGGAAUUCCCAGUGUAGUGGUGAAAUACGUAGAGAUUGGGAAGAACACCAGUGGCGAAGGCGGCUAUCUGGCCUGGUUCUUGACGCUGAGGCGCGAAAGCUAGGGGAGCAAACGGG